UGAAUACGAGACGCUAAGGCGUCGAAGUAGUGUAUGUCAUACUUCCAAGAAAAGCUUGCACUGUCAUAGAUAAAAAACGCCUGUACCAUAACCGACACAGGUGGGUAGGUAGAGUAUACUAAGGGGCGCGAGAUAACUCUCUCUAAGGAACUCGGCAAAAUAACUCCGUAACUUCGGGAGAAGGAGUGCCUUAUUCUUAAGGUUGCAAUAACAAGAUCCAAGCAACUGUUUAUCAAAAACACAGGUCUCCGCUAAGUCGUAAGACGAUGUAUGGGGGCUGACGCCUGCCCAGUGCCAGAAGGUUAAAGAAGCUGGUUAGCAUUUGCGAAGCUAGUAACUGAAGCCCUGGUGAACGGCGGCCGUAACUAUAACGGUCCUAAGGUAGCGAAAUUCCUUGUCGGGUAAGUUCCGACCCGCACGAAAGGCGUAAUGAUUUGGAUACUGUCUCGGAGAGGGGCUCGGUGAAAUAGACUUGUCUGUGAAGACGCGGACUACCUGCACCAGGACAGAAAGACCCUAUGAAGCUUUACUGUAACUUGAAAUUGAAAUUGGACUUUAUUCGCGCAGUAUAGGUGGGAGGCGUUGAUUAUAAUCUUGCGGGAUUAUUGGAGCCAUUAGUGAGAUACCACUCUUGUAAUGUUAGAUUUCUAACUUUGAAUCAUUAUCUGGUCAAAGAACAGUUUCAGGCGGGCAGUUUGACUGGGGCGGUCGCCUCCUAAACGGUAACGGAGGCGUACAAAGGUUUCCUCUGAACGGUUAGAAAUCGUAUCUAGAGUGUAAAGGCAUAAGGAAGCUUGACUGUGAGACCUACAAGUCGAGCAGGGACGAAAGUCGGUCUUAGUGAUCUGACGGUACUGAGUGGAAAGGCCGUCACUCAACGGAUAAAAGUUACUCUAGGAUAACAGGCUGAUCUCCCCCAAGAGUUCACAUCGACGGGGAGGUUUGGCACCUCGAUGUCGGCUCAUCGCAUCCUGGGGCGGUAGUACGUCCCAAGGGUUGGGCUGUUCGCCCAUGAAAGCGGUACGCGAGCUGGGUUCAGAACGUCGUGAGACAGUUCGGUCCAUAUCCGGUGUAGGCGUUAGAAUAUUGAGAGGAGCCUUCUUUAGUACGAGAGGACCGAGAAGGACAUACCUCUGGUGUACCAGUUAUCGUGCCAACGGUAAACGCUGGGUAGCUAUGUAUGGAGUGGAUAACCGCUGAAAGCAUCUAAGUGGGAAGCCCACCUCAAGAUAAGUAUUC
rnacentral:rRNA from 1 species